rnacentral:tmRNA from 2 species
GGGGAUGUAUAGUCUCGACAGGAUUGCUCUUUAAAAACUGCAAGCUGUUAAGGAUACAUUAAACAUAAAAUAUUGUAUCAAAACACAAACGCCAAUAAAUUUGUGCGUUCCGCUGUUGCAUUCGUGCAACAAGCACUUGCUCCACAAGUUCGUGUAGCAUACGCCUAAGCGGUAUUCUGGAUGAUCCCUUUCAGGCUGGAUCGCCAGGAUAAGUACCCAGUCUGAAUGCAGUUGUGAUAUCUAAUCCAUAUUCGCAACAAAGAAAUUUGGAUUAAGCGUUAAUCUUCCUGCUGACGGGUUACAAAUUAACGCUCAAAAAAUACAUCAGCUAAGCUUGUAGAAGUUUUAAAAGUCACAAUUUUGGACUCGGCUCACAGCCGACAUCUCCACAA